AGAGGCGGAAUAGCCUGGAGCAACGGCUGGAAGGUAGGACUUGGGCCGGCUGGAGGACCAGGCCCCGUGACUGUUCCCUCCUCCCCAGCAAUGACAUCGCCCUCAUCAAGCUCUCACGCAGCGCCCAGCUGGGAGACGCCGUCCAGCUCGCCUCACUCCCUCCGGCUGGUGACAUCCUUCCCAACGAGACACCCUGCUACAUCACCGGCUGGGGCCGUCUCUAUACCAACGGGCCACUCCCAGACAAGCUGCAGGAGGCCCUGCUGCCGGUGGUGGACUAUGAACACUGCUCCAGGUGGAACUGGUGGGGUUCCUCCGUGAAGAAGACCAUGGUGUGUGCUGGAGGGGACAUCCGCUCCGGCUGCAAUGGUGACUCUGGAGGACCCCUCAACUGCCCCACAGAGGAUGGUGGCUGGCAGGUCCAUGGCGUGACCAGCUUUGUUUCUGCCUUUGGCUGCAACACCCGCAGGAAGCCCACGGUGUUCACUCGAGUCUCCGCCUUCAUUGACUGGAUUGAGGAGGUUUCCCUGCAGUAUGAGAAAAGUGGAAGCUUCUACCACACGUGUGGCGGUAGCCUCAUCGCCCCCGAUUGGGUUGUGACUGCCGGCCACUGCAUCUCGAGGGAUCUGACCUACCAGGUGGUGUUGGGUGAGUACAACCUUGCUGUGAAGGAGGGCCCCGAGCAGGUGAUCCCCAUCAACUCUGAGGAGCUGUUUGUGCAUCCACUCUGGAACCGCUCGUGUGUGGCCUGUGGCCAAUGGGCCACUCCCAGACAAGCUGCAGCAGGCCCGGCUGCCCGUGGUGGACUAUAAGCACUGCUCCAGGUGGAACUGGUGGGGUUCCACCGUGAAGAAAACCAUGGUGUGUGCUGGAGGGUACAUCCGCUCCGGCUGCAACGGUGACUCUGGAGGACCCCUCAACUGCCCCACAGAGGAUGGUGGCUGGCAGGUCCACGGUGUGACCAGCUUUGUUUCUGCCUUUGGCUGCAACUUCAUCUGGAAGCCCACGGUGUUCACUCGAGUCUCCGCCUUCAUCGACUGGAUUGAGGAGUUGGGCAAACUGCGGCUCAGAAAGAUAAAGAACUUCUCCGGAGCGAAAAAGCUGCUAAGAAUGUAUCCAAAACUCCGCACGAAGUCUGGAACGUUUUUUCUUAGAGUUCCAGAAUUGAGACUGAAGUGUACCCAGAGACACAAAGAAAUACAGAAGUCCAGAAUGAUCAAAUGAGAUCACUACCCAAUGAAAUGAUGGGCCGAGGAGCCAGAAGUUGUCCUACUACCUGCUUUCCAGGUCCAGAUUCCACGAGAGCCUUCUGGGCUCCCACCAGAGACCCUCAGUGAAGACUCUGUUGAAGACUUUAAGACCAUGCUAGAAAGCCUCCCGGCAGAGGUUCAGGAAGUUCUGCUAUGAGGAUGCAGCUGGCCCCAGGGAUGUCCUCAGGCAUCUCUAGGACCUUGCUGGACGGUGGUGGC
ensembl:lncRNA novel transcript